rnacentral:lncRNA from 1 species
AAUAUCUUCUAAUAAUUUUUAAAUAAUUUUCGAAUCUAAAUAAAUUAUACCAAGCUGAAAAUAUGAAAUUCUAAGCGUCUAGAAAACAUCGGAAAGCCGGUGCAGUUAAAAGUGUUGGAACUCAAGUGAGGUGAGGCUUGCCGAAAAUUACAGCCCAAAACUUGCCGAAAAGUGCUAGAUCGAUGCUAGAAUGACGCUGCUCCGGUGAGGCUUCACCAAGGCUGCCAAUAAGGAUAAUGGGCAGAGGAGGGGCUAAUCUUGGCUUUUGGAGGGUAGGAACUCAAAUCCAGCAUUGGAUUUGCAAAGGGACGGUGGUAGAGGAUAGUUCUUGCAAUGGCAGCGGAGAUUGACGCCUCCUCCUCCUGUUGUAGCAUGUUUUGGCAAUGAGGAAGGGGGAAUGGGAGCGCCGGCUGGAAGGAGAGGAAGGGAAGGGGGAGAGCUGGUAGCUGUGGUGGUUAUGGUGGUGAAGGGAAGAAAUUUAUUGUACGGGAGUGUGUGCAGUGGAGGAAGGAGAAGAAAGGGGGACAUGCAUAUGUCCCAACUUCUUUCUUUCUUUUUUUUUGUAAAUUUCUUU